AUCUCUCAUGAGGGGAGUAAUCUUUCAAUCAUUCACUGUAUCUCAUCAACAAGGCCUCGUACCUACCUACCUUAGUAGUUGUGCAGCU